CACCGGCGGCUCGAGUGGUGGCCACUUUUAUUGGGUCUAAAACGUCCGUAGCCGGCUUGGCAAGUCCCCUGGGAAAUCUGGCGGCUUAACCGUCAGGCGUCCAGAGGAUACUGCCAGGCUUGGGACCGGGAGAGGUGAGAGGUACCUCAGGGGAAGGGGUGAAAUCUUGUGAUCCCUGAGGGACCACCAGUGGCGAAGGCGUCUCACUAGAACGGGUCCGACGGUCAGGGACGAAAGCUGGGGGCACGAACCGG
rnacentral:rRNA from 1 species